rnacentral:rRNA from 1 species
AUUGAACGCUGGCGGCAGGCCUAACACAUGCAAGUCGAACGGCAGCGGGGGAUAGCUUGCUAUCCUGCCGGCGAGUGGCGGACGGGUGAGUAAUGCAUGGGGAGCUGCCCAGUCGAGGGGGAUAACAACUGGAAACGGUUGCUAAUACCGCAUACGCCCUGAGGGGGAAAGGUGGGGAACUUCGGUCCUACCGCGAUUGGAUGCGCCCAUGUGGGAUUAGCUAGUUGGUGAGGUAACGGCUCACCAAGGCGACGAUCUCUAGCUGGUCUGGGAGGAUGAACAGCCACACGGGAACUGAGACACGGUCCAGACUCCUACGGGAGGCAGCAGUGGGGAAUAUUGCACAAUGGGGGAAACCCUGAUGCAGCCAUGCCGCGUGUGUGAAGAAGGCCUUCGGGUUGUAAAGCACUUUCAGUCAGGAGGAAGGGGUGAUGGCUAAUAUCCAUCAUCAUUGACGUUACUGACAGAAGAAGCACCGGCUAACUCCGUGCCAGCCGCCGCGGUAA